rnacentral:rRNA from 1 species
GUCCACGCUGUAAACGAUGGGUACUAGGUUUGGUGGGUCUUGACCCCCGCCGAACCGGCGCUAACGCAAUAAGUACCCCGCCUUGGAAGUACGGUCGCAAGACUAAAACUCAAAGGAAUUGACGGGGGCCCGCACAAGCGGUGGAUCAUGUGGUUUAAUUCGAAGCAACGCGAAGAACCUUACCUGGGUUUGACAUCCCCGGACAACUCUAGAGAUAGAGCUUUCGUAGCAAUACGACCGGGAGACAGGUGCUGCAUGGCUGUCGU